GAUGAACGCUAGCGGCAGGCCUAAUACAUGCAAGCCGAACGGCAAGUUUGAUAGCAAUAUUGGACCUAGAGUGGCGCAAGGGUGCGUAACACGUAUGCAACCUGCCCGCGACAGGAGGAUAGCUCCCCGAAAGGGGAAUUAACCCUCCAUAACACCAUGAGAAGGCAUCUGAUUAUGGUUAAACCGCAAGGGGUCGCGGAUGGGCAUGCGGUUGAUUAGCUAGUUGGCGGGGUAAAGGCCCACCAAGGCGGUGAUCAAUAGGGGUUCUGAGAGGAAGGUCCCCCGCACUGGCACUGGGAUACGGGCCAGACUCCUACGGGAGGCAGCAGUAGGGAAUAGUGGACAAUGGUUGCAAGACUGAUCCAGCCAUGCCGCGUGCAGGAAGAAGGCCUUCUGGGUCGUAAACUGCUUUUUCCUGUGGAUAAAAUACCCGUGCGCGAGGAAUUGAAGGUAACAGGGGAAUAAGCCACGGCUAACUACGUG
rnacentral:rRNA from 1 species